GGGCAACCUGCGGGUCGGGUCCCAUCGGUGGAAAGGGGAACAGAUCAGGCGUUAAACGGUGGAGCAGGGUCGAGAGACUGAAUGGCGUCCCGCUAAUCCCAGUUCGCGAAGAAUCUAGAGUUGUAAUUGAACCACUGCACUAUCACAAGACUAGAAGCUAAUUUCUUGACCGGAGAGAUGGAAGUGGGUGAGAGUGACUGGCCUUGAUGUCAAGAUUAUAACAUAUCCUUGUUUGAUGACAAAGCUACGUGGAAGUGAGCUGUCCAAAAGGUGGAACAGUUUGCAAAGGGAUAUAGACAGUUUAGGUGGGAGGUGUUCCGGACUAGGUGAAUGUUCCUUUAAGAUAGAGCGUAGUGGUGUGUGUGUGUGUGUGUGUGUGUGUGUGUGUGUGUGUGUGUGUGUGUGUGUGUGUGUGUGGCGUGCUUACGUCAACAGAAGAUAAAGGACGUAAUGACGUUGUUGAAGAAGUCAGUCAGAGGAGAGAGAGAGAAAAGGGAGAGAGACACCAGCCUGCUAGUUUCUUUAUCGAUGGAUGAGAAACAAUAACUGUGUCUGUUACUACAAUCCACGUAUGGAAAUUGGGAGUAAUCCGGUGGAGUUCACUUUGUUGCUGACCUGUAGAAGGAAACAGGUAUUUGUGUGGACGACCACGAUUCGGAUGCUUUUCGGGGUGAGGAAGUCACUACCGAGUAAACACUGAGGUGUCAUUUGGGUUCCAUCGUGGAACAUUUGGAUUUCGUAAUUACUCUUUCUAUGUUCUCUCUACAUCUAUGUCUUAUCUUCAGAUAACGGUGGUUGUUGAAGAAGCCUUUGCUCAUGUUUCACCUUAUGGCUUGUGGAACUGAACUUUAAUAACCAUUCAUCAACUUGGAGUUUGGGACUUUGCCACACACACAUGAUGAGUUUAGUUUUGGGGUUAAUGUUCAACGUUUAACAUUUUUACUUCUAACAUUCUAACAUUUUUACUUUUAUUUUUCUUAUUAUCAUAAGUAGUG